UUCAAACCAGCAAAGUGACAUUCCAAUGCUCUUUCUAGGCUUUUCUUAAUUGCAAGAAUACAGCUGUCAGGUUUGCAUGGGAUUUCCUCCCCUAAACUCAGUGAACAUUUGCAUGCUAGUCCCUAAAAAGGCAGAUCUAUGGAGGUUCUAGUGGAUUAAGAGAAAUGUGUUUCAGUGAAACCGAAGUGAGCAGUUGGUUUCUACUCCCUCAACAUUUCUAACGAUAAAUGCUGUCUGUCUCAGUUAGGGGGAGGACCUUGCUCUGCUUGGACACCAAAGGGGUUUUUACCUUUCUCCCAGACUCCGGUGUCAGGUGCUUCCCGAACCUGCAGGUGGGGUAGCCAGUCUUUCAGGAUUGGUCUGAAAAUCUCCAGGAGUUGAAGAGUCAAUCUCCAGGAUAUUGCUGUUCUUUAUCAUUUCUGUGGUACAAUGAGAUUGAAAAUAAACAAACAAUGAAAGGC